GGAAUACCGGUGGCGAAGGCGGCCCCCUGGACAAAGACUGACGCUCAGGUGCGAAAGCGUGGGGAGCAAACAGGAUUAGAUACCCUGGUAGUCCACGCUGUAAACGAUGUCGAUUUGGAGGUUGUGCCCUUGAGGCGUGGCUUCCGGAGCUAACGCGUUAAAUCGACCGCCUGGGGAGUACGGCCGCAAGGUUAAAACUCAAAUGAAUUGACGGGGGCCCGCACAAGCGGUGGAGCAUGUGGUUUAAUUCGAUGCAACGCGAAGAACCUUACCUGGUCUUGACAUCCACAGAACUUAGCAGAGAUGCUUUGGUGCCUUCGGGAACUGUGAGACAGGUGCUGCAUGGCUGUCGUCAGCUCGUGUUGUGAAAUGUUGGGUUAAGUCCCGCAACGAGCGCAACCCUUAUCCUUUGUUGCCAGCGGUUAGGCCGGGAACUCAAAGGAGACUGCCAGUGAUAAACUGGAGGAAGGUGGGGAUGACGUCAAGUCAUCAUGGCCCUUACGACCAGGGCUACACACGUGCUACAAUGGCAUAUACAAAGAGAAGCGACCUCGCGAGAGCAAGCGGACCUCAUAAAGUAUGUCGUAGUCCGGAUUGGAGUCUGCAACUCGACUCCAUGAAGUCGGAAUCGCUAGUAAUCGUAGAUCAGAAUGCUACGGUGAAUACGUUCCCGGGCCUUGUACACACCGCCCGUCACACCAUGGGAGUGGGUUGCAAAAGAAGUAGGUAGCUUAACCUUCGGGAGGGCGCUUACCACUUUGUGAUUCAUGACUGGGGUGAAGUCGUAACAAGGUAACCGUAGGGGAACCUGCGGUUGGAUCACCUCCUUACCUUAAAGAA
rnacentral:rRNA from 1 species